CAUGCGGCGGCAGAAGUUCGGUGGCCUUGACUCCCAAUCGCACGAAAGUUGUCGCAAGGGGCGUGUAAGAAAGCGGCGACUCGAGCAGCCGUCAGGAGUGUAGAUAGACACCGUGCGCUCCACCUCGAGUGCCUUGCAGCCGUAACGUUCCUGGCUCCGCUAACGUGCAAGAAGCGCCAGCCGACAAAGCCCGGGCGACUGUACUCAAACCGAGCUGCUUGCUUGCUUCCGUACAAGGUAUACGUGACGCAAGUGAAAUCAACCUGCCAUGCCGUCAUCGUGGAACCCGGUAGAAGAGGAAACCGGCAAAAAAGCCCUCGAAGAGGCGUGCAAGCCUGGACCUUCACACAAGAACGCCUACAGAGAUUUCGAAGGUCUGUACCUCAGCAAAACUUUCACGGAUCGAAAUAUGCGCACUGCGCUGUCCUACAAACCGCUUGAUGGGGACGUCUUUGUCGUGAGCUACCCGAAAUGUGGCACCACAUGGAUGCAACACAUUGUGUACUGCAUAUUCCGCGAUGGCGUGCCCCCUAAGAACCUCAUGGAGUUCAUGAACAUGGCUCCGUUCUUGGAGCUUCUAGGAGGCGAGGGCGCGCAGGCUAUGCCACGACCAAAUGGCAUCAAGACUCACCUGCCGUUCAACAAGCAGCCUUACUCGGCCAAGGCCAAGUACAUCUAUAUCACCCGCAACCCAUAUGACUGCUGCGUGUCCUUCUACUACCACACGAGGAACAUGCCGAUGUACCUGUUCGAGGACGGCACGUUCGACCAGUUCUUCGACAUGUUCAUCGAAGGAAAAGUGGACUUCGGUGACUACUUCGACCACCUCUUGUCCUGGUACGAACAUCGCAGGGACAGCAACGUCCUCUUCGUCACUUACGAAGACCUUAAGAAGGACACUCGUGGCUGGGUGCUCAAAGUCGCGGACUUCCUGGGUAAGGAGUACGGAGACAAAUUGAGACAGAGCCCGGAUAUCUUCGAGAAGAUUAUGACUGCGAUUAGCGUCGACUCCAUGAAGAAGAUUAACGCCGAGAUGAACAACUGGGGCAAGGAUUUGACCAGUGUUCCCCUGGAGACGCUGCCUGAAGGGAUGAAGUCUUUGGUGGAAGCCAUGGGGUCUCUGCUAGACAAGCCAAUCAAGGGAGACUUCGUGAGGAAAGGCAUUGUGGGGGACUGGAAGAACCACUUUUCGCCGGAGCAGGUCGCCAGGAUGAAAGAGCGAAUCGCACUCAAGACAGCCGGCAGUGAUGUCAUGGACCUGUGGAAAGACGCGGGCUUGCCCUAAAUAUGAUUUGCAAGCUGGCGAUAUUGCGUUCUGGCUGACGAAGCCUCUGCAGCACGAGGAGACUGGUCAUCUAUGCGUUCUUUCUUCCAUAAGCCCCAUCUAGCGAAUAAAGAAACGUAAGGUGGGGC